rnacentral:rRNA from 1 species
GACGAACGCUGGCGGCGUGCCUAACACAUGCAAGUCGAGCGGGGUUGAAGCGAGAGGUAACUCGAACUUCUACCUAGCGGCGGACGGGUGAGUAACGCGUGGGCAACCUGCCUCAAGGUCUGGGAUAACAGCCCGAAAGGGCUGCUAAUACUGGGUAUGCUUGUGGCCUCGCAUGGGGCUAUGAGCAAAGGGGAAACCCGCCUUGAGAUGGGCCCGCGUCCCAUCAGCUAGUUGGUGAGGUAACAGCUCACCAAGGCGACGACGGGUAGCCGGCCUGAGAGGGUGACCGGCCACACUGGGACUGAGACACGGCCCAGACUCCUACGGGGGGCAGCAGUGGGGGAUCUUGCACAAUGGGCGAAAGCCUGAUGCGGCGACGCCGCGUGAGCGAAGAAGGCCUUCGGGUGUAAAGCUCUGUCUGGAGGGACGAAGGAAGUGACGGUACCUCCGGAGGAAGCCACGGCUAACUACGUGCCAGCCGCCGCGGUAAUAUCACGUGU